UGGGGAAUUUUGGACAAUGGGCGAAAGCCUGAUCCAGCAAUGCCGCGUGUGUGAAGAAGGCCUUCGGGUUGUAAAGCACUUUUGUCCGGAAAGAAAUCCUUGGCUCUAAUACAGUCGGGGGAUGACGGUACCGGAAGAAUAAGCACCGGCUAACUACGUGCCAGCAGCCGCGGUAAUACGUAGGGUGCAAGCGUUAAUCGGAAUUACUGGGCGUAAGCGUGCGCAGGCGGUUUGCUAAGACCGAUGUGAAAUCCCCGGGCUCAACCUGGGAACUGCAUUGGUGACUGGCAGGCUAGAGUAUGGCAGAGGGGGGUAGAAUUCCACGUGUAGCAGUGAAAUGCGUAGAGAUGUGGAGGAAUACCGAUGGCGAAGGCAGCCCCCUGGGCCAAUACUGACGCUCAUGCACGAAAGCGUGGGGAGCAAACAGGAUUAGAUACCCUGGUAGUCCAGCGCCCUAAACGAUGUCAACUAGUUGUUGGGGAUUCAUUUCCUUAGUAACGUAGCUAACGCGUGAAGUUGACCGCCUGGGGAGUACGGUCGCAAGAUU
rnacentral:rRNA from 1 species